UUUGACCUCAGCUCAGUCGUGAUUACCCGCUGAAUUUAAGCAUAUAAUUAAGCGGA
rnacentral:rRNA from 2 species